GACGAGCGCUGGCGGCGUGCUUAACACAUGCAAGUCGAACGGAAAGGCCCUGCUUUUGUGGGGUGCUCGAGUGGCGAACGGGUGAGUAACACGUGAGUAACCUGCCUUUGACUUUGGGAUAACUUCAGGAAACUGGGGCUUAUACCGGAUAGGAGCUCCUGGUGCAUGGUGGGGGUUGGAAAGUUUCGGCGGUUGGGGAUGGACUCGCGGCUUAUCAGCUUGUUGGUGGGGUAGUGGCUUACCAAGGCCUUGACGGGUAGCCGGCCUGAGAGGGUGACCGGCCACAUUGGGACUGAGAUACGGCCCAGACUCCUACGGGAGGCAGCAGUGGGGAAUAUUGCACAAUGGGCGGAAGCCUGAUGCAGCAACGCCGCGUGCGGGAUGACGGCCUUCGGGUUGUAAACCGCUUUCGCCUGUGACGAAGCGUGAGUGACGGUAAUGGGUAAAGAAGCACCGGCUAACUACGUG
rnacentral:rRNA from 1 species